rnacentral:rRNA from 1 species
GAUGAACGCUGGCGGCGUGCCUAAUACAUGCAAGUCGAGCGAACGGACGAGGAGCUUGCUUUUCUGAUGUUAGCGGCGGACGGGUGAGUAACACGUGGAUAACCUACCUAUAAGACUGGGAUAACUUCGGGAAACCGGAGCUAAUACCGGAUAAUAUUUUGAACCGCAUGGUUCAAAAGUGAAAGACGGUCUUGCUGUCACUUAUAGAUGGAUCCGCGCUGCAUUAGCUAGUUGGUAAGGUAACGGCUUACCAAGGCAACGAUGCAUAGCCGACCUGAGAGGGUGAUCGGCCACACUGGAACUGAGACACGGUCCAGACUCCUACGGGAGGCAGCAGUAGGGAAUCUUCCGCAAAGGGCGAAAGCCUGACGGAGCAACGCCGCGUGAGUGAUGAAGGUCUUCGGAUCGUAAAACUCUGUUAUUAGGGAAGAACAAAUGUGUAAGUAACUAUGCACAUCUUGACGGUACCUAAUCAGAAAGCCACGGCUAACUACGUG